CAGCAUUGUUAGCUCAAGAGCAGAUGAGCUGCAAUAAGAGAGGAGCUGACACCAUAAUGCAAAUGGGCACCCACAGCUUCUGAGGGCUGCUGUACUAAGGACUGCAGGCUGGGCACUGCUGCAGGACAGAAGGCUCAUGAGAAGAAAGGGAAGAACAGCACAGGCAAGCUAUUUCCAAACAGGGCACAGGAGGCUUCUAGAAGAAUCUGUUCUGGAGAUGCAAGAAGAGAAUUAGC
rnacentral:lncRNA from 1 species